UGUUUCGAUCUGUUGGGGGCAGAUGAAAUGGAUGUGCGUGUCAAUCCCACCUGCUGUGAGGAUGUGCCCUUCGCCAGCAAUCGCUUCGGUGCCGGGUCCAAUCACGAUGGUGACGCCCUCUUGGAUGUCGGGGUUGCCGGCCUUGCCGAUGCCAACGAUGCGGCCAUCCCUUAGCCCGAUAUCGGCCUUGACGAUGCCCCACCAAUCAAGAAUGAGGGCAUUGGUAAUCACGGUGUCAACGGCGCCGUCAGCUCGGGAGGUUUGGGAUUGGCCCAUCCCAUCAC
rnacentral:sRNA from 1 species